UGAGGCGGUUGUCCACCGUACGGGAGAUAAUGAUGGGUUAGAGAUGGAAGUGAGCUACGCACCCAUUUCAAGAGUGAAAACUCAAAGAAAUACAAGUCCUCUGCCACCUGAUGAAAUAUAGUAAAGAGAGCCAGAUCAAAGCUGGGAGGGAAAAAAGCACAGUGUGUUAUGGGCUUACUGUGAACAUUUCACCACCUGGUGUAGAAAUGGAGAAUCAUCGAGUGCACAGGCUAAUUGGCUUUGGUAUAUUCUUGGGGCAUUUGUGUCCAUCACUGGCGUUGAGAUUGCUGUGUUCUUUGCCGUUAUGGGACGAAAGAAAAAAUCGAAAACAUACGCCUAGAGAAACUGGUAGUGUAAUUUGAGGAAAGUGAGAGACAUUUCAGUAGUUUGAUUUUUCAAAAAUUAUACUUAUAUUGACAACUCUGUGGUGUAAUUAGGGCACUCAAAUACCGGAUAUCUAGCUUGAUAACCCUUUCAAUGAAAAUAAAAAGGCACUGUUGUUGGGAAUAUAAAUACAGUUUAAGUUUCACUUAACUGUAACAAAAUAUGGGGAGGGGAACUGAGUCAAGGAUCGUAAUUCUUUAUAUCGUCCUCAGACAUGGUAUAACUUGGUGAUAAAGAAAAAAAUUAUGAAUUUCCAGGAAAUGUGCAUGAUAUUACCAGCCAUUGAUGCAAUAUCACAUUUUGGAUGUGUUCUAUUUAUAUUAAUUGUUUAAUGCAUUAUUAUUAUUAUUAUUAUUAAUUGCAUUAUUAUUAUUGUUAUAAUUAUUCACUUCUGCAUGUUAUAUUUUAGACUCUACAAAACUGAGUGAAUAAGAAUGCAAUAUUUAUUGUCUUGUCUUUGUUUUUGUAUUUUACCUGCUGCAAAUCAGUAUUUAUU